CGGUAACAUUGUAUGCUUCACAAUUUUGAAAACUUGUAACUGAUAUCAAGUAGAAUGAUAUUGCAGUUAUUAGCCAAUUUUUCUACGAAUUACAAUAUGAGGUAAAAAAAUUAAUGCUCAACUUACCUGAUCCUCAAACAUUGAGUCAAGAAAUUCACUUUGAUGUCAAGAGCGACAAUCACUUUUUUGAAUUUCGAGCUGAGGACUGUAUAAGUAGACCUCAAUGUUACUAUAAUUCAAUGGCAACACCAAUACCUCUACAAUACAUAC
rnacentral:lncRNA from 1 species